rnacentral:rRNA from 1 species
GGGUGUAUACCCGAUAGAUCUCGGUCGCUGGAAUGCCCCGAGAUUGAAAGCUCCGGCGCCAGAGGAUGGGUCUGCGGCCUAUCAGGUUGUAGUGGGUGUAACGUACCUACUAGCCUACGACGGGUACGGGUUGUGAGAGCAAGAGCCCGGAGAUGGAUUCUGAGACACGAAUCCAGGCCCUACGGGGUGCAGCAGGCGCGAAAACUUUACAAUGCCGGCAACGGCGAUAAGGGGACCUCGAGUGCCAGGUUACAAAUCUGGCUGUCUUGAUGCCUAAAAAGCAUUGCAUAACAAGGGCCGGGCAAGACCGGUGCCAGCAGCCGCGGU